GGGAAACCGAGGAAAGUCCGGGCUCCACAGGACGAUGGUGCUGGCUAACGGCCAGGAGCAGUAAUGCUACGGAAAGUGCAGCAGAGAACAGACCGCCUACGGGUAAGGGUGAAACGGCAGUGUAAGAGACUACCGCCUGGACAGUGAUGGACAGGGCUAGGUAAACCCCACCAGGAGCAAGGCCAAGAAGUGAUAAGCUGGUCCGGCAUUGAUCACGGGUAGGCUGCUUGAGCGGAUGGGUAACCAUCCGCCUAGAUAGAUGAUUACCUAAACAGAACCCGGCUUAUCC
rnacentral:RNase_P_RNA from 1 species